GAGAGAGAAGAGAGAGACGAGAGAACGGUGGAGAAGCAGAGAAGGAGAAAGUACCGAUCGGAAGCCUGAAACUUGCAUACAAUCUUGGUUUUUGACCUAGUGAAGGCUAAUAGCUCGAAGGAUAAAGAGGUUAUUGAAGAAGAAAGUGAGCUGAUUGAAGAGUAGGGAUGCCUGUUGUAUUUUGUAUAUAUACUUAGUGAAUUGUUUUGAUAGUUUAAUUAAUUAUACUUUUACAUAUGUUAUGUUUGCAA